rnacentral:rRNA from 1 species
GAUGAACGCUGGCGGCGUGCCUAAUACAUGCAAGUCGAGCGAACGGACGAGAAGCUUGCUUUUCUGAUGUUAGCGGCGGACGGGUGAGUAACACGUGGAUAACCUACCUAUAAGACUGGGAUAACUUCGGGAAACCGGAGCUAAUACCGGAUAAUAUUUUGAACCGCAUGGUUCAAAAGUGAAAGACGGUCUUGCUGUCACUUAUAGAUGGAUCCGCGCUGCAUUAGCUAGUUGGUAAGGUAACGGCUUACCAAGGCAACGAUGCAUAGCCGACCUGAGAGGGUGAUCGGCCACACUGGAACUGAGACACGGUCCAGACUCCUACGGGAGGCAGCAGUAGGGAAUCUUCCGCAAUGGGCGAAAGCCUGACGGAGCAACGCCGCGUGAGUGAUGAAGGUCUUCGGAUCGUAAAACUCUGUUAUUAGGGAAGAUCAUAUGUGUAAGUAACUGUGCACAUCUUGACGGUACCUAGUCAGAAAGCCACGGCUAACUACGUG